ensembl:lncRNA
AGGCGUCCACACGAAACCAAAACGAAACCGGAUCGAUUUGAAACCACCUCCGAGGGUGGUUUCAGAAGUUUGCGGUUUCGGUCAGCGGAUUCGCUGGCUUCGUGUGGACGGAAGGCCGAACCGUACAAGACCUUUGCGGUUUCGCCAUGAAAUCGGCUUCGUGUGGACGGGGCCUAAUCGUUCUUCACUGAUCGUCAUGGUGUUGGUGAUAUGGGGCUUAUUUUCUGCAGGGUUAUAUUGGUCUGCAGCUUGGAUCUGGCAAGUGAAAACAUUUUUACUGAAGUUAAAUAUAUAUUUACCCCUGGCUAUAAGCACGUACUGUUGGAUCAGUUCAUCAGUCCUGAAGGAACCAUCUGUAAAACGUCCUGCUCUACCUCCACAUGCAGCGCUGCAGUGUCUCAGAAGGUCUCGUCUUUUGCUGUGGAGAUGAAGCCCACCACUGUGGUGAUGAAGCCCAUCAGGGAGUCUUAAGCUUGUUCCUCUCCAACCCCAAAAGCCAGAUUCAGUGUCCCUGGAUCAGCCCCCCACACAGGACCCUGACCCAGGCCAGACCGGGACCCAGUGUGGAUGAAGUGCUGAUAGUCACCCUGUAGCCUGGAUCUGACCUCCUCCCCCCUCCUCCCCACAGGGUCCAGCCAACAUCCUGGUCCUCGCCCUGGCCUCUGCCGUGGUUCUAGCGGGUUCCCUGCUGACCGCCGUCUCGAAGAUCUGACGGCAGAACCCGUCCCGCCAGUAGGGCUCGCCCCCCUGGUCCCAGUCCGGCGGGGUGCUAGGUGACAAUAAUAAGCUGGUGGUUGACUGUUGCUAAACAGCCUGGUGACUGCUGCUAAACUGCUGGGUGACUGUUGCUAAACUGCUGGGGGACUGUUGCUAGACUCCCGGGUGACUGUUGCUAAGCAGCCGGAUGACUGUUUUUAAGCUGCCGGGUGUCUGUUGCUAACCUGCUAGGUGACUUGUUAAGCUGCCGGGUGACUGUUGCUAACCUGCCGGGUGACGGUUGCUAAACUGCCGGGUGACUGUUGCUAACCUGCCGGGUGACGGUUGCUAAACUGCCGGGUGACUGUUGCUUAGCUGCCGGGUGACUGUUGCUAAGCUGCCGGGUGACUGUUGCUAAGCUGCCGGGUGACGAUUGCUAAGCUGCUGGGUGACUGUUGCUAACCUGCCGGGUGACUGUUGUUAACCUGCCGGGUGACUGUUGCUAACCUGCUGGCUGCUCUGCCUGUAGAUGUAGGUCGUGUCAGGCCGUCCUGACCUGGCUGUCAAACACAAGUGACCGCAGGAGACGCAGUCUCCCCUCGGUUCCUGUUAUUAAAAUAUUGUUUGUUUAUACACUUCCGUCUGGCUCGUUUUUUCAGCAUCACCCACUGCUCCCCUCACUCUGAUAAAAUGUUGCAGUACAAAGAGUCUGGAGGGGUUCAGUGUAACGCCAGGGGCCCUCGGAGGCCACCUCAGACCAGGCUCCACGGCGGGGGGCUCCAGAACCGCCAGGGGGACGCAGCUCUGAUUGAGCUGCUGCCUUCUGGUAAACGCCACCGAAGCCUCGGGGCUAAAACCCAGAGGAUGAGGAACAGUUUUUUUCCCAAAAGCAGUCAGGCUUCUUGGGGAAUCCACUACCCACAAACCAACCCCACACACGAUGACUUUUUAUAUACAUAUUUAUUGUAAUUGCAACAUCUUUGCACUGCACUGUAUUUGGCUCGACAAUCAGUGACCACUUAUUUUUACUUAUUUUACUAUAUUUUUCAAUAUAUAUUUACUUUUCAUUGUAUUGUUUUGGCUGUGUGUGUUGAGAUACCACGCAUAAUCAUCGUAAUCGUGUGUACUUGUACAAUAAUAAAAGUGAUUCUGAUACUGAUGAAUGACCUGAAGC